rnacentral:sRNA from 1 species
UUCAAAGUGAAGUUAAAAGUGAGAGUGAACGAUUUUGCUUGUCAGCUGACAAGGAAUAAAUACCCAACGAAUAUGAAAAUCUCCCCAAGUCAAAUAGUGAGGUAAUCAACAGUUUAAAAAAAAUGCAGUCAAGGUCCAAACAAGAAAUGGGUGUGACUAGCUGGGUGUGCAACUGUGGCAAGUGCCACGCCCACCUAGCAAACGGGCAAUUUGUUGCGCUUGGUUGCGCGUGGAAAUUAUGAUUUUUGCUUUUGUGAAAAUCUCAUUAGGCGCUGAAAAAGGAUGCCGAUUUUUGUAGCCAUAAAUAUAGGUUGCUGCCCGCGAUAUGCAGCUCAACUUUAAACGCCAUCCUCGUGGGUUCGCGUUACGUGGCGUUUUAAUUAAGCUCAGCGUUUUAUGGACACUUCUUUAAUGGAACCGCAUAAAUUCUAGAGGAGCAGUCGGCAGCUUGGAUCAGGAGUUUAAGCACUCCGACCCCGAUUCAUAUCCAGGGCAUAAAACGCACGGCAGGCAGUCGGAAAGUGAAUUUUAUGCCAAUCAUUAAACAAAGUUGUGAACAACAAACCAAACUCAACCGCUUUGUAUCGGGAGUUAUGCCGUUGAUAACUUUAUCCCCAACUUUGUAGCGAAGCAGUGCGGAUCGGAUCGGAUCGGGGGAGCUCCUUUCCUUAUCGAUUGCCUGAUAAAUGUUUGACACAGAGUGUGGGCUGCACUCGAGGGUGUCAUUCAACUCAACUGCAACUGUAUCUGGUAUGUGUAGCUGUAUCUGGUAAAUAGGUUUUAUGGUUCUCUAAAGACCUGCUCAUUAUAACUGGAUGUUAGUACAAACAUGGGUUAUGAGCUCAAGCGAUGACUCACCGAAGUGGACUGUGAUAGGAAACAUUGUGCUCUCAAUUGGGCUUUAUAUUUGUCACUUUCUUAAAUGUACGUCAUACUUAUAUGAUAAUGAUUUUAUUUAAAAUAAAUAUUAUGUAAAAGGAAAUGGGUGUUUAGAUUAUUUCUAAAUAGCUGCUGCUGUUUGUAAAACGGAAAUGGUGGCUUGACAGACGUUCAAAGUAUUAGUCAUCCAUACAAAGUGACACAUGUAUCUCAAGUAAGUGAACCUACGUCUUACGAAAUAUAAUUAAGGAAGUGAUUAUUUGGAUCAGUUAUUUAAUAAGGGGUCACUUUGGUGUGACUCAUGCACUAGGAAUGCCACACCGCUUAUAUAAAAUCCUACCAGUUGAUUUUGGGUAUCACUAGUGCAUCGGAUUAUCCGUUGAUAUACGAUUUAAUUCAUAAUGAAUGCGUGACCAUAAGCUGCUCGUGAUCAGCGCUGAUUUGGCUCAUUUGUAGCUAAAACGCUUUGGAAGCUGAUUUACUCGUCGAGUUUUUGCAUAUCUCAUGAGCAGCAUGAAAUCCGAAUGGGAAACUGAAUGAUUUAUUUGCAAAUGCAACAUCGAAAUGCACUCACAAAAUGAGCUUUUAAGUGGCCGGCCCUCGACUUUCGACUUUUUUGUUGUUGUUUUUUUUUUAUUCGGCCUGUGUUGACUUCACCCUUUUUGGGGGGAAAAAACCAAAAAACUCAGUGGGAACUGUCACCAAGUGCUCCACAUUUGUGUGUAAAGCUUAUUAAGAAAUGCUUAUUCCGCCUUCUGUCUCGCUCUUUCUGGGGAGCCUGCUUCCCUCUCAUUUUUAUCGAGUUUAAUGGAUUUUUAAUGAGUCUGAAGCGGGGCUUUUGACGGCAUUUUCGGAAAGUGCAGUUUCAUUAUCGCUUAAUCCUGUUUGCCUUUCAGGAAAGAGGAAGACAAACACACAACAAGCGUCGGUUAAAAAGUGGGAGGGUACGGACUACUGAGUUUGGAAUCGGAUUGGCGAUAAAGAUAUUAUCAAAAUUUGAUUUUAUCGGUUAUGUGAUUUAAUGCAUAAAUAUGGUAUUUAGUUCAUAUAAUAAAACGACUACUUAUACUAUAUAAAUCGAAUUUAUUGCUAUUUGACUUAAAAAA